rnacentral:rRNA from 1 species
GAUGAACGCUGGCGGCGUGCCUAAUACAUGCAAGUCGAGCGAAUGGAUUAAGAGCUUGCUCUUAUGAAGUUAGCGGCGGACGGGUGAGUAACACGUGGGUAACAUGCCCAUAAGACCGGGAUAACUCCGGGAAACCGGGGCUAAUACCGGAUAAAAUUUUGAACCGCAUGGUUCGAAAUUGAAAGGCGGGCUCGGCUGUCACUUAUGGAUGGACCCGCGUCGCAUUAGCUAGUUGGAGAGGUAACGGCGCACCAAGGCAACGAUGCGUAGCCGACCUGAGAGGGUGAUCGGCCACACUGGGACUGAGACACGGCCCAGACUCCUACGGGAGGCAGCAGUAGGGAAUCUUCCGCAAUGGACGAAAGUCUGACGGAGCAACGCCGCGUGAGUGAUGAAGGCUUUCGGGUCGUAAAACUCUGUUGUUAGGGAAGAACAAGUGCUAGUUGAAUAAGCUGACACCUUGACGGUACCUAACCAGAAAGCCACGGCUAACUACGUGCCAGCCGCCGCUGUAA